UACUCUCUCCCUUUUAUAGGUCGGCCUAGAUCUCUUGAGUAAUGUUUACUGUAAUUGUAUUCUUAGAAGUACUCGGAUGAGUGGACAAUUAAGUAUGAUUAUAAUUCACGAUUGUGAUCCAUUUAUUUCUCGCAUGUGUGCGAGUACAGGGUGCAAGAUCACGUGACUUUGCGGGGAUGCCUAUUACACGUUACGAUCGGGUUUUGAGUUGUUCGCGUUAGCGGACAACUAAUGUAGAGGGAAUUUUGCAAGUCAGUCUGCUCUUAACUACGCUGGGAACAAUAACCACCGCAUCUGCCUGUUUAUACUCAAUCACUGGUACACUGCCGACAGCCAGUGUGUAGAAAAGAAAUGGAACGCAAAAGAAACGCAAACAAUUGGUCAUUGAAAGUACAGGUCAUUCUUAAUGAACAGUGAUACAGUAGUAACGCCGAAGUCACAGUAUUCGUGACCUUGACAUUCGAGUCCCUGAAGGAGCGGCGGUUGCGACAGAAUUAGCAGACGAUGAAAUGGAUGAGAUGGAAAACACCGCAGACCUCAUAACAGAAGGAGACACUGUGGCCGUCGUUGCGGCGGAUGAAAAUGAUGAUUACUUCUUGUUAAAGGUAACUCGUACUCCAUACACAUUGCGAGCAGAGGGUACAGAUGACUGGGGUAACACUUUCCCGGAAGGAGCACGUGUUGUAGGAGGGUAUCAUUGCAAAUCGACUGAGUCCGCCUUUAAGAUCGUUAAGAGGAAAAAAGCCCUUGUGUAUUCGGUGGCGGUUUGUUACAUUUUGGACGAGAAAGACAAAAACGGAAGUAUUAGCGUAGAUGAGAACCUCCACCGAGACAUUCUGAACAGUUUGAACAUUUUAGAUGUUUGAUAAUAACAAUAGUUUUAAGACAGAAAAGAACGGAAAUUUGAUUCAUUAAUGAUAAGUAUUUACGAGUUGUUCGUCAUCGCAUGCAAAGCGAUUGGAAGCUUAUACCAUACUAUUUAACUACACUUAUAACUACUAAAAUUUGUAAUUAAUAAAUAACUUAAUCUCCACACAUCCAUUGUCACCAUCGAUUAACAAUGUAUACUUUUUGUUGCGGGAGUUAUUAUUAUACAUGCUUGGUGAGUUGAUAUAUAUCUGCUGUUUCUUGUGUUUAUAUGUGCAGAUGUGAAAUUUCAAAUUAUGUAACUGUCUAGAACUUUGUCGGUCCGUGUAAUGUACAUGUAUUAGUAAGUUGUGUGCAUUAUUUAUAUUAUGUUAUGUCAUGUCUUUCUUAUAAUUAUGUUGAUGUAAAUAAGCAACUUAAUGCUGUAUCAGUAUGUAGCCUCGUGUAGUUCUUCACAGAACAGACAUUCUUUUCAUAACACUUUUAUAUGAUACUUUU